rnacentral:rRNA from 1 species
AGAGCGCACGGAGGAUGCCUUGGCACUAGGAGCCGAAGAAGGACGUGACAAACGACGAAACGCUACGGGGAGCUGUAAGUAAGCAAAGAUCCGUAGAUAUCCGAAUGGGGGAACCCACCGCUUUUAAAAGGGCGGUACGCGAAAGCGAGGUAACGCAGGGAACUGAAACAUCUAAGUACCUGUAGGAAGAGAAAGAAAAAUCGAUUUCCUAAGUAGCGGCGAGCGAAAGGGAAAGAGCCCAAACCAAUGUGCUUGCAUAUUGGGGUUGUAGGACUCUCAGAAAAACGUAUGACAAAGUAUAGUAGAACGAGCUGGAAAGUUAGACCGUAGAAGGUAAAAGUCCUGUAUACGAAAUGCUGAGUUGGCGUGAGAGAGCACCUGAGUACGGCGGAACACGAGGAAUUCCGUCGGAAUCUACCAGGACCAUCUGGUAAGGCUAAAUACUACCUAGUGACCGAUAGUGAACCAGUACCGUGAGGGAAAGGUGAAAAGAACCCCGGGAGGGGAGUGAAAGAGAACCUGAAACCGUGUGCUUACAAGUAGUCAGAGCCCUUUAGGGGGUGAUGGCGUGCCUUUUGUAGAAUGAACCGGCGAGUUACUUUAUCAUGCGAGGUUAAGUGGAAGACAUGGAGCCGAAGCGAAAGCGAGUCUUAAUAGGGCGAAAUAGUAUGAUGGAGUAGACCCGAAACCAAGUGAUCUACCCAUGGCCAGGUUGAAGUUUAGGUAACACUGAAUGGAGGACCGAACCAGGACACGUUGAAAAGUGUUUGGAUGAGCUGUGGGUAGCGGAGAAAUUCCAAUCGAACUUGGAAAUAGCUGGUUCUCUCCGAAAUAGCUUUAGGGCUAGCCUCGUUGUGAGUUUACUGGAGGUAGAGCACUGUUUGGACUAGGGGCCCAUCCCGGGUUACCGAAUUCAGACAAACUCCGAAUGCCAGAUAAAUAUCAACGGGAGUCAGACUGCGGGUGAUAAGGUUCGUAGUCGAAAGGGAAACAGCCCAGACCGCCAGCUAAGGUCCCAAAUUGUAUGUUAAGUGGAAAAGGAUGUGAUGAUGCACAGACAACCAGGAUGUUGGCUUAGAAGCAGCCACCAUUUAAAGAGUGCGUAAUAGCUCACUGGUCGAGUGACAUCGCGCCGAAAAUGUACCGGGGCUAAACAUACAACCGAAGCUGCGGAUAUAACUAAUGUUAUAUGGUAGGAGAGCGUUCUAACAUCAUAGAAGCCGAACUGGAAGGUGAGGUGGAGAGGUUAGAAGUGAGAAUGCCGGUGUGAGUAGCGAAAGAUAGGUGAGAAUCCUAUCCACCGAAAGACUAAGGUUUCCAGAGGAAGGCUCGUCCGCUCUGGGUAAGUCGGGACCUAAGGUGAAGCCGAUAGGUGAAGCCGAUGGACAACAGGUAGAAAUUCCUGUACCACCGAAUAUCGAUUGAGAGAAGUGGGGACAGAGGAGGCUAAUUGAUCGCCCUGAUGGAAUAGGGCGUCUAAGCACAAAGACUGACAAGUAGGCAAAUCCGCUUGUUUAAAGGUUGAAGUGUGAUGGGGAGCGAAAUAUAGUAGCGAAGUCAAUGAAGCCAAACUCUCAAGAAAAGCCGCUAUCGAGAUAAGAGGUGCCCGUACCGCAAACCGACACAGGUAGUUGGGAAGAGAAUUCUAAGGUGAGCGAGAGAACCAUCGUUAAGGAACUCGGCAAAAUGACCCCGUAACUUCGGGAGAAGGGGUGCCUACGAGAGUAGGCCGCAGUGAAUAGGCCCAAGCGACUGUUUAUCAAAAACACAGGUCUCUGCAAAACCGAAAGGUGAAGUAUAGGGGCUGACGCCUGCCCGGUGCUGGAAGGUUAAGAGGAGUGCUUAGCGCAAGCGAAGGUAUGAAUUGAAGCCCCAGUAAACGGCGGCCGUAACUAUAACGGUCCUAAGGUAGCGAAAUUCCUUGUCGGGUAAGUUCCGACCCGCACGAAAGGCGUAACGAUUUGGGCACUGUCUCAACGAUGGACUCGGUGAAAUCAUAGUACCUGUGAAGAUGCAGGUUACCCGCGACAGGACGGAAAGACCCCAUGGAGCUUUACUGUAGCUUGAUAUUGAAUUUUGAUGCAGUAUGUACAGGAUAGGUAGGAGCCUAAGAAUCAUGCACGCCAGUGUAUGAGGAGGCGUUGUUGGGAUACUACCCUUGCUGUAUUGAAAUUCUAACCCUCGGCAUAGAAAACCGGGAGACAGUGUCAGGUGGGCAGUUUGACUGGGGCGGUCGCCUC